UGCCAUGAGUCUGACUACCAGUUCCAGCGGACGACUUGAAUGAAUCACAGCAGUUACUACUGCUGCUGGGACAGCUGCAAUUGAUUAUCGAGCUUACAAAAGGUUUUAUGUUAAAGAUCAUCGAAAUAAAGCUACGAUAAACCUUCACAUCCAGAAAGACAACCCCAAGAUAGUACAUGCUUUUGACAUGGAGGAUUUGGGAGAUAAAGCUAUACGAUACUGCCAUUGUUGGAGGUCCAGAAAGUUCCCAUUGUGUGAUGGGGUCUCACACAAAACACAAGGAAGAGACUGGAGACAAUGUGAGACCUCUGAUCAUCAAGAAAAAAGAAA
rnacentral:lncRNA from 1 species